rnacentral:rRNA from 1 species
AUUGAACGCUGGCGGCAGGCCUAACACAUGCAAGUCGAGCGGGGUUUUCGGACCUAGCGGCGGACGGGUGAGUAAUGCGUAGGAAGCUACCCGACAGAGGGGGAUACCAGUUGGAAACGACUGUUAAUACCGCAUAAUGUCUACGGACCAAAGUGUGGGACCUUCGGGCCACAUGCUGUCGGAUGCGCCUACGUGGGAUUAGCUAGUUGGUGAGGUAAUGGCUCACCAAGGCGACGAUCCCUAGCUGGUUUGAGAGGAUGAUCAGUCACACUGGAACUGAGACACGGUCCAGACUCCUACGGGAGGCAGCAGUGGGGAGUAUUGGACAAUGGGCGAAAGCCUGAUCCAGCCACUCGCGUGCAGGAUGAAGGCCCUCGGGUUGUAAACUGC